CACACCCCUCACGACCAUCUAAUGAUAAAAGUCAAGUGUGCAUUAUGAGUUGGAUCCUCUUUUGGUGUCGGGUAUUCACAUUAAUGGAGCUUUUGGUCAACCCGUAUCGCCUAUUAUAGGGCUUAUUCUGGGGAUGCGGCUCCCCACAUGAGUUUCUUUAUAUUUAGAGCUCGAACUCGAGAUAUCUGAUCAAGGGUGAAACAAUCUCACUAGCCUACUGGACCACAACCAAUGUUGAUAUGAGUUUUUUUAUUAUUUAUCACCCGGUUCAGUAUACGCAUUGGAGUCCCGACUAAUUCGAAUCGCGUAUUGCAGGGUCCAUUCUGGGGUUAGCACUCCCAAUAGAAUUUUCUCCAUACCCAAAACUCGAACCCAAGACCUCUAAUAAAGGGUGAAGCAGUCCCACUACUACGUACUCCACAACCCAUGUUGAUAUGAGUUGGAUCCCACAAAUUAAAACCCAACUCCAAUAAAAAUCUUGCCUUUGUCAAACAUUCUCUUCACAUUUAAGAAACAAUGAGUAUAUAUUUAGCUUGCUUGCUUCUUUAAAUUCCUCGAACCAUAAGAGGUGUGGAAGAACAAAAGAAGCAUUUCUUGUAGCAACAUAUUGCAUAGAGGGUCACUUAAAUUGUUGGAUAUAUGGGGAGUUUUGACAAGCAAAUGAUCAAGGAUAGAGCACAAGAGUUGAAGAUCUUUUUCAAAAAGGGAGUGAAGAUUGUGGGAGAUUCUUGCAAGAAGGGUUGGUACAAGGUCAAGAACAUGAGGAAUUAAAAGUUUUAAAAAUUGAUUUAUUGUUUUUUUUAUAAAAAAAACAUGGUGUAGAUUUCUUAGUUCUUUUCAUUUUCUUUGAGGGGUUUUGAGCAUUGAAGAGAAGCAAUUUGAUUUUAUGUCACUAGGUAUAAUUUGCAACUUGGUUCUUGAAAAGUUAGAAAUGUAAAGAGUAUUUGGUAUUUUUCCAAGGUACAAUUCAACAAAUUUUGUUUUGAAGUCA